rnacentral:rRNA from 1 species
GACGAACGCUGGCGGCGUGCCUAACACAUGCAAGUUGAACGGCAAAGCCCUGCUUUCGUUGGGUGCUCGCGUGGCGAACGUGUGUGUAACACGUGUGUCAUCUGCCCUUGACUUUGGGAUAACUUCAGGAAACUGGGUCUUAUCCCAGAUAGUCGCUCCUGCUGCGUUGUGUGCGUUGGAAAGUCUCGGCGGUUGGAGAUGGACUCGCGGCUUAUCCGCUUGUUGGUUGGGUAGUGGCUUACCAAGCCAUUGCCGGGUAGCCGGCCUGAGAGGGGGACCGGCGACAAUGGGACUGAGGGACGGCCCAGACUCCUACGGGAGGCAGCAGGGGGAAAUAUUGCGCAAUGGGCGGAAGCCUGAUGAAGAAGCGCUGCGGGCGGGAUGACGGCCUUCGGGGUGUGAACCGCUUGCGCCUGUGACGCAGCGUGAGUGACGGUAAUGGGUAAAGAAGCACCGGCUAACUACGUG